ACUGCACGAGCUCUCCUCUCUCCCACGCCUCCUGAUCCCAGCCGCCAGGAGGCACGCGGCCCUUGGGGCGCUCGAUCCGGUGACGCGCCGGCCGCCGCCGACGCCGGCAAUCACAGCACCCUGCACCACCGUUCCUCCUUAGCUCCUCAUCUUCCCCGCGUGCCCGAGCUCCUCCUCUCUCCCGCGUGCCCGAGCUCCUCGCUGUGUGCCGCUCGGGAGGGCUUGCGUUCGCCGCUCGACCAAAGCCACCGCGAGCUGGUCGUCGUUGCACUUGCUGGCGACCUGGCCGUCCCCUCUGCAACACUUUCACCUCAAAUUUGGACGCUCAUGUGCUUGUGGAUGUUCUCAGUUAUUUUUUGCACACAAGGUGUUUGUGUGUUUGUCUGAACCUGUUUCAGUCACAGAUCCUUGAGCCGACCUAAUUGAGCUAUCGGAGGUGUUGCGGUCUUUUAGCAAACAUGCCCUAUAUUCUAUGGUUUGGCAUCUACAGGAUGCCAUCUCUGGUCAUGGAUCCACUAUGGCUGCUUCGUCCUUCACUUAGGACCUUCUCACCUCCACAGAGAUCAGAGAGAAAAAUAUAUCUUGGAAGCAGGAACCCUUACCUCAUAAGAUGGGUGAGCUGUAGGAUUUGGUUCUGUUGAACUUGAAUUAGUUUUUGCUCAUCAUGUUCUCUGUAUUAGGAAUUCAGGUUAUGACUAUGCCGUAGGUGACGUGCGGAAAGGCGACCAAAGAGUACAUGAAGAAUUCUUGCUAUCAACUAGGGCUGGAUGCCCCCAGGAAGAAUGCCGUGAGUCAACUUUAAUGACUAAUAUGUUAAUUUCUUCUAGCUACACAAUAUGAGAUAUUGCUUCUUAAUUAACGCUUACUGCUACGUAGUAAGAUGACAAUGGGAUUUUGUUUCUCGAGUUGGCACUCAGUAGUAAAAGUGGUUUAUACUUCGAAUAGUUGAGCCGAAAACUGGCGUGUCAUGGCUCCUAAUGUUACAGAGCAAGUGGACAGACUCUAUCCCCCCCCCCUCUCUCUAGACUUUGUUUUCUAGGUUUGGUUGGGUACAAAAGGCUAGAUUCUGGUAUAUAUUCAUUGAUGCAGAAGCUAGAAGCUCAUUGAUAUUAUUUUUCUUGCCAAACAUACAAAGGAUUGUGCAUAAAACUUCCAGCUUGAAAUCUACAUCUGGGUUACGAGCUUUCUCCAGAAUUUAAGAACAUCGUUGUGGACAUUUAGAUAUUUUUGUAGUAUUCUUCAGGGUCUUGACUUAAUUUCUUUUCACACAGUAAAAUAUUAAUUAUAUGUUGUACAGUAGUAGUACUGUGCAUACUAUGUACUCAAGUUUAUUAAAGUCAAAGCAGGAAAGGAGAUCAGAGUUCAGGGCAUGUUCAGCUCCACCCAUGCAUCAAGGGAAAUAUAUACGACGCAAAUGAUAACGUGUUCUGCUAGAUGACAUAGUACAAGGUUCAGCAAUGACGACAUGAUCUCAAACAUGCCACUGGCAUGGCACCUAUACUAAACUUGAUUUGUUCUCUCAAUAUGGAAUGUUAAUCUUCUCCUCUGCAUAGUACAAAUAUUCCCUUAGCUCAAAGGAUAUAGACAUGGUGAGUUUGGUUGGAGGAAAUAAGAAUGAUUUAUAAAAGUAAUAAAAUGGAGAUAAUGCUGCUUGAUGUGUAUGGGGAUUCUGAAGAUAUAUAUGAUUGAUACUUUCCCUGCAUGAUAUAGAUUAGUCGAGGUUUGCGAAGUUCUCUAUAAAAGAACUAUGUGGGGUUCUAUUAUUGUAUUAUUUCUAACACGUAAAAUAUUUAGGCCCCCGUUGCAUUGCAAGGGCAAUCAGGUCAUGGCAGAAUCAAGCAGGAACUAGGAAGUAGGAAGGGACCAGUCCCGCCCCCAGCGACAAAGACUUCGACAACGGUGACGACAGUGUGUCCCGGCGAGCAUGAGCAAUGGAAGCAUAAUCUCCAAGUAACUGACCAAGACGUUGUCCAGGUCACACGUCGAGGACUUCCUGCCGCCACCUUGGCUGCUGUUGUUGUCCCCUCAAAUAAGCCAUAUAAGGUUAGUUCCAUACACUGCAAAUGCAACUUGCAAGCAUGGGGACAUGUACAGAACACAAGUGUCAUACACACAGAAAUCAUCAACUUUGUGUUUUAAUUGUCUGAAUUACAGGCAUCCCUAGCUGCACUUGCAGGUCAAAAACAUGUGCAUACUUCGGUAGGCACAACAAGCAGACCUAUACAAAUUUGCUACAAAGGCCUGAGCUACUGAAUAUAUAUACCUAUAAUAAAAAGAGGCUUUCCUAUCGUCCUCUUUCAUGUUCAAGUUCCUAAUGAAGCAGCCAUGAAAGACUGGGUCAACAAUGAAAUAAAAUAGAAAACUAAACCCACUGUUCAUGAUCUUUGUGGAAGAAAACACAUACGAUUCUUAUUCUGUAAGAGUUGUUUGUCUUUUGAGUUACUGCAUAGGCAAAAUGCCAAAAUUCAGUGUAGUCUUUUCGGUUAAUCUCAUCAUCAUGUAAUUAAUAUUCUGUGAAGACUACAAUAUACAGCGAGGCAAUGAGAAGAACUGGACCUGCUGUGUGAGUGUAUAAAUAUACAAGAAGCUAUUUUUAUCCAAUCUUGCUAUUAAUGACCAUGUGGUGUAAUCUUGGGCUAUUUGUUGUAAAUAGCUAAAAGUGGUUCAUAAUUCUUGGUGUGUUUUGCUGUUUCUUGCGCUGGAGGAUCUGCUCCUUCCCCACGCGUGCCCACGAGGACAAGGAGUCAUAGUGGUGGCCACUAGCAGCGCCAGAAGGAGCGUCCAUUCAAGCACAUUCAACCAGGAUGGUGUGCACGUUUUUUUUAAAAGCUCAGGCUCCUCUUUCUUACAUGAGUUAUUCUUAAUUAUUGAUUUGAUCUGUAGGAUUUACAUCAGGUUGGCACAAUUUGAUGAACUUGAA